GCAGCAACCUUGCAGGGAGAAUGAGAAGACUGGCUGAAGGGUGGAGAAAGAGAGAGGCUGUACAGGGGCGAGCAGCUUUCAAUCCAAUUUAAGCUCCUGUACGACGGCUCGGCUGCCAUGAAGAAUCACCCUUUUGUUCAGUUUGUAUUUCAACAGCUGGUGGUGGAUACAGAUCUAAUUUGCAGCAGUAUGAUGGAGUGAGCCUGGGCACAAAGCACUGCACGUGUCCUGUUUCCCAGCUCACCAGGGCACGGUUCUUAGCUUUAUCAGCUGCCUUUGAUCAGAGCUAUGAAUCUCACCACAGAGUGGAAACAGCAGAAGCAAAGGAGAGUGAGUGAUCCUGCCUUUCCUGAAUGCUGCACGGUGGUGAAGUCCAGGAAUAGGACUGAGGAGUAGACAAGCCAGUAGUAAUAUUACCUCUUGUGACAGGUUGGAUCACAGAAAACCCCCUUGAGGCUGCCAUCUGAUGUGCCAAGACUACUUCUUCCCCUGCUUUCCCUGCCAAUCUGGGACUCCAGAACCCUGCCUGGUUGUGCCAGACUCGCUUGCUGGCUACAAACACAGACCCAGGUCUGAACAACGUCCCACAAACUGCAGGCUCACCUGAAAACAGCUUAAGAAGUGUUUCUGUCUCCAACAUGCAGAUGCCCAACUCCCAAUGGGGUCCAAACCCAAAUAAAUUCGUUUUAGCCUGUAUAAAGCUUAUACAGGGUAAACUCAAAAAUUGUUCACCCUCUAUAACACUGAUAGAGAGAUAUGCACAGCUGUUGGCCCCCUCCCCCCCAGUAUUAAUACAUACUCUGGGUUAAUUAAUAAGUAAAAAGUGAUUUUAUUAAAUACAAAAAGUAGGAUUUAAGUGGUUCCAAGUAAUAACAGACAGAACAAAGUGAAUUACCAAGCAAAAUAAAAUAAAACAUGCAAGCCUUUGGCCUAAUACAGUAAGAAAGUGAUUACAGAUGAAACCUCACCCUCAGAGAUGUUCAAGUAAGCUUCUUUUACAGACUAGCCUGCUUCUAGUCUGAGUCCAGCAAUCACUCACACCCCCAUGGUUACAGUCUUUUUGUUCCACUUUCUUUCUGGUAUCCUUUGGGGCUGGAGAGACAAUCUCUUGAGCCAGCUGAAGACUAAAUGGAGGGGUCUCCCAGGGGGUUAAAUAGACUUUCUCUUGUGGGUGGACAGCCCUCCCUCCCCCUGUGUAGAAUCCCAGCUACAAGAUGGAUUUUUGGAGUCACAUGGGCAAGUCACAUGUCCAUGCAUGACUCAGAACUUACAGGUAGCAGCCAUUGUUCACAUGCUACCUUGAACGUCCUCAGGUAGACUUCUUAUGUGGAUUGGAGCCUUCCAAGAUCCAUUGUCAGUUAAGUGUUUCUUGACUGGGCACUGAACUUGCACAUUCCUUUCUAAAAAAGCCGCCCAAAUGCCUUACUAUGGCUACUUAAAAGCAAACAAGUACACAUCUAAUAUUCAUAACUUUGAAUGCAAAAAUGAUACAUUCAUACAAAUAGGAUGAAUAUAUUUAGUAGAUCAUAACCUUUGCAGCGAUAUGUUACAUGGCAUAUGUAGCAUAAAACAUAUUCCAGUUAUGUCAUAUUUACAUUCAUAAGCAUAUUUCCAUAAAGCAUUAUGGGGUGCAAUGUCACACCUCUGUCCACUAACUAUUGUAUGUCUACAUUCCAAGCUGGAGGUGUAAAUUCCAAAACACUAGGUAGAUAGGGUGGUUAGCCCCUCCCACCCCUUGCUCCUCAUGGCUGCGCUCUAUUUUUAAUGUGCUGGCUCGAUGGGGUAUGUCUCCUCGAGCUGGGAAUUGCAGCUCCAGCUUCAAGUGCAGACAUCCUCAGAGCGUGAGAGAGGAGAGCUUCACAGACCUGGCCUCUAAUCCCCCCAGCUGUAGGGGAUCCAGGGGUCCCAUAAGGUUUCAUAUGGCAAAUGCUGGACAUUGUGUUGGGAUGCAGUGAUGCUAUUCAGUAUGCAGACGGCACAGAGUGGAAUAAAACUGUGUGCACUUGGGUUCCCCUUCCUCUAGAAUUUUUUAGCUUCGGGCACUGUACUUGCCCUGUUGUUUCAGCCCAAGUAGACAGAAAACGUCUACACUGCAAUAAAAGACCUGCAGCACGGCCAUAGUUGGGCAAGGUCAGCUGACUCAUGCGUGCAGGGCUCGAGCUGCAGGGCUAUAAAAUUGCAGGGUAGAUGUUCAGGCUCGGGCUGGAGCCCAGGUUCUGAGACUCCGUGCUGUGGGCUUUGUCACAGUAUAGACAUACCCUGAAUGGGCGAUGGGAACAGUGGCUUGUUCUGGCUUGUAAAUAUAAUGGGCCAAAGUUAGCCACAGUGUUACUCCCGUGACAUCUGUGGGGUCACUGCAGUGAUGAAUCCAGCCCAGUGACCCUCUACUGUGGUUCUUUCGCUAGCCAGAAAAGGCAGGAACAAAUAUUAGUUUGAGCUGAUGUGACGUUAUUGACAUAAUCUGUAACUGUCUAGAUCACUGUUGCGACCACUGUUAUAUAUUUGCUGCAAAUACUGUAUAAAGAUUGUCGUUUAAGGGAUCUAUAGAGAGGUUAUGAUUAUGCUGUCUAUAUGUGUGUAUCAUUUUUGUAGUUAAAGUUAUGAAUAUUGGCUUUAUACUGUCUGUAUUUCAAACUUAUGCUAUGCUUCUGGGUGACACCCUAGACAAGUUGGUGACAGCUCUGCCUAGCCUGCUUGAUGGCCCAUUAAGGACCAUCAGCUACACAACUGACCCAUUGAGAGAAGGCAGAUACAAUUCUGCUGAUACAGACUAACACGGCUACCACUCUGAAACCAGAUACACCUUGUAACUCAGCAAAGUAUGCAGGGCUUGCCCCUGUGACUCCAAACUCCAUUUUGCUGUAAUUUUCCACAGUAAAAACAAAGAGGUGUUCUUACACCUGGAAAAGACUAUAAAAGGCUGAUGCCUCAUCUCCAUCUUGUCUUCAAUCCUGUUUCUUACCUCUGGAGAGACUUUGCUACAAACAGAAGCUCUGCACAAAGGACUGAAAGACCCAUCCCAGCUGUGGAUGUACUCCAGAGACCUGAUUUGAACCUGCAAUUUAUUCCAUCACUGCUGCAAACCUGAACCAAGACCUUUGCCAUUACUAUGAAAAAAAGCUGACUAGUGCCAGGGGCCAGGGAGGCUCCUGGGCAGCGAAUAAGGCACGGAUACACCCCUGGACCAGCGAGGAUUAAAAAUAAAUGCUGCCAGAUGGGCAGGCUCAAUGGUCUUUGCUCUCUCUUGGGACGAAGCGCACCUUCUGUCACUCCAGUUAGUAGAGGAGAUUGGGGACUGACUCAGUGCCCUGGCACAUUUCUCAUUACCCGAUGGCACGGUGACAAUAGCCUGUUUCACUGGAUUGAACGAAAUAAACUCAGUUCAAUACCCAGUGGCCAGGGAUCCACAUCACAAAAAUACCCUACAACCAAUCGCCCCCCAGGAAUCGGCUCUCCAACCCAGGACUGACAAGGGCUGUGGAGAGUGAGCUCCCCCUCGCCCAACAGGGGAUCCCCUCCGGGGAGGCUUGCCGGCGGGGGUGGUGUGUAUGGGGAGAUUGCCCUGCUACUGCCCAUUCUGUCCCCUUUCUGUGGCUAAGGGCAGGUUGCUAAUCUUCAGGGCUGUCAAUACAGGAAGACUUUCAGCCGUGCUAGAGACAUAGAACGUGCAGAGAGACACCCAGACGGCCUUGUCGCAGUGUUUAUAAAUGGGUUAGGUAAUAAUCCAAUCUGGGCACUGUCUGUCUAGCUGGGCUUUGUUCUCCUGCUGUAGCUGGAACACGGUCAGUCUGCAGCAUGGUCCUUUCUGCUGUGAUUUGCAUUCAUGAAAAGGAACUGACAGCUUUACACUGAGGGAGUAGAAAAGCACAUGAAGGGGACUCUGAGGUUUACAGCAUGGCCUGUCCCCAGGGCUUUGAUAUGUAGCGUUGGCACCUUGAGCGGUCUAGUGUAAAUUUAGCUGUGGGUUUUAUUGUGACUGUUAACCUGUGCUUGGACUAAGGCUAUGUCUAGACUAUAGGCGCAACAGCAUCACAGCUGCAGCUAUGCGGCUGUAGUGUAGACACCCGGGAUAGUGAUGGAGGGUUUUUUUCCAUCACUGUAGUAAAUCCACCCACUUGAGAGGCGGUAGCUAGGUCAACGGUGUCACACUGUCUGGAGAGGCUCAUGACCAUGAGUGCCAACCUCCAGGCAGACUGUUAAGAAACAGGGCAUGACCCCAAACUGGUUGUGAGUUCUCUACUUAGAUUUCACCAACUAAGUAUCAUCUGUGAACUCAAGGGCUACAACAGCAUUAACAUGGAGUCAGAGACAGUUCACUCUGUCUCGACGCCUAGGCGAGCCUGCCUUUGUGAUAGACAGUCCCUUAUACCAAAAAGCACACUAAUAUUUGGGUUACUCCCAGUCCCAAAGGACCAGUCAUAGAUUCAUAGAUACUAAGGUCAGAAGGGACCAUUAUGAUCAUCUAGUCUGACCUCCUGCACAACGCAGGCCACAGAAUCUCACCCUCCCACUCCUGCGAAAAACCUCUCACCUAUGUCUGAGCUAUUGAAGUCCGCAAAUCGUGGUUUAAAGACUUCAAGGUAGCAGAGAAUCCUCAAGCAAGUGACCCGUGCCCCAUGCUACAGAGGAAAGUGAAAAACCUCCAAGGCCUCUUCCAAUCUGCCCUGGAGGAAAAUUCCUUCCCGACCCCAAAUAUGGCGAUCAGCUAAACCCUGAGCAUAUGGGCAAGAUUCACCAGCCAGAUACUACAGAAAAUUAUUUUCUGUAGUAACUCAGAUCCCACCCCAUCUAAUAUCCCAUCACAGGCCAUUGGGCCUAUUUACCAUGAAUAUUUAAAUAUCAAUUAAUUACCAAAAUCAUGUUAUCCCCUCAGACCAUCUCCUCCAUAAACUUAUCGAGUUUAAUCUUAAAGCCAGAUAGGUCUUUUGCCCCCACUGCUUUCCUUGGAAGGCUGUUCCAGAACUUCACUCCUCUGAUGGUUAGAAACCUUCGUCUAAUUUCAAGUCUAAACUUCCCAAUGACCAGUUUAUAUCCAUUUGUUCUUGUGUCCACAUUAGUACUGAGCUUAAAUAAUUCCUCUCCCUCUCUGGUAUUUAUCCCUCUGAUAUAUUUAUAGAGAGCAAUCAUAUCUCCCCUCAGCCUUCUUUUGGUUAGGCUAAACAAGCCAAGCUCCUUGAGCCUCCUUUCAUAAGACAGGUUUUCCAUUCCUCGGAUCAUCCUAGUAGCCCUUCUCUGUACCUGUUCCAGUUUGAAUUCAUCCUUCUUAAACAUGGGAGACCAGAACUGCACACAGUAUUCCAGGUGAGGUCUCACCAGUGCCUUGUAUAACGGUACUAAAACCUCCUUAUCCCUACUGGAAAUACCUCUCCUGAUGCAUCCCAAGACCGCAUUAGCUUUUUUCACGGCCAUAUCACAUUGGCGGCUCAUCGUCAUCCUAUGAUCAACCAAUACUCCAAGGUCCUUCUCCUCCUCUGUUACUUCCAAUUGAUGCGUCCCCAGCUUAUAACUAAAAUUCUUGUUAUUAAUCCCUAAAUGCAUAACCUUACACUUCUCACUAUUAAAUUUCAUCCUAUUACUAUUACUCCAGUUUACAAGGUCAUCCAGAUCCUCCUGUAGGAUAUCCCUGUCCUUCUCUAAAUUGGCAAUACCUCCCAACUUUGUAUCAUCCGCAAACUUUAUUAGCACAUUCCCACUUUUUGUGUCAAGGUCAGUAAUAAAUAAGAUUGGUCCCAAAACUGAUCCCUGAGGAACUCCACUGGUAACCUCCCUCCAGCCUGACAGUUCACCUUUCAGUAGGACCCGCUGUAGUCUCCCUGUUAAUCAAUUCCUUAUCCACCUUUCAAUUUUCAUAUUGAUCCCCAUCUUUUCCAAUUUAACUAAUAAUUCCCCAUGUGGCACGGUAUCAAACGCCUUACUGAAAUCUAGGUAAAUUAGAUCCACUGUGUUUCCUUUGUCUAAAAAAUCUAUUACUUUCUCAAAGAAGGAGAUCAUGUUGGUUUGGCAUGAUCUGGCAUUUGUCUGCUAAACCCAGGGUUGCGAGUUCAAUCCUUGAGGGGGCCAUUUAGGGAUCUGGGGCAAAAAUUGGGGAUUGGUCCUGCUUUGAGCAGGGGGUUGGACUAGAUGACCUCCUGAGGUCCCUUCCAACCUUGAUAUUCUAUGAUUCUAUGAUUCUAUUUUGUCCCAAUUACCAUUGACCUCAAUGUCCUUAACUACUUUCUCCUUCAAAAUUUUUUCCCAAGACCUUGCAUACUACAGAUGUCAAACUAGCAGGCCUGUAGUUACCCGGAUCACUUUUUUUCCUUUCUUAAAAAUAGGAACUAUGUUAGCAAUUCUCCAGUCAUACGGUACAAUCUCUGAGUUUACAGAUUCAUUAAAAAUUCUUGCUAAUGGGCUUGCAAUUUCAUGUGCCAAUUCCUUUAAUAUUCUUGGAUGAAGAUUAUCUGGGCCCCCCGAUUUAGUCCCGUUAAGCUGUUCGUGUUUCGCUUCUACUUCAGAUAUGGUAAUAUCUUCCUCCAUAUCACUUACCCCAGGUCAAGUGCAACCUAGAUCUCUCACCAAAGACAAUCCUGUAAUAAACUAACUAAAGGUUUAUUAACUAGGAAGAAGAAAUAAGAGAGUUAUUUACAAGGUUAAAGCAGGUAAACAUACACACUCAAAUGAGUUACAGUCUUAGGUUCCAAAAGAUGAUAGUAGCUGGUAUAUAGGCAAGCUUUAUAUGUCCCUUAGGCCUAAUCCAAGCUAAACCUCUAGGGCCCCCUUGCUUAUGCUUAGAAAUCUUCACCCCGCAGAGUUCAAGCAGCAUCGGGAUACAAUUUCUCCUUAUCAGGGAUUUUUAUUUCCGUCCCCCAGCAUUCAAGCUGUGAUGGGAUGAGGGCUUGUGCAGGUCCCUGCUUCAUAGGUGUGGGGCGACCAAUCCACAAAGUCUUUUGUCCACUGAUGUUCCAUAGUGGUUUGUCUGGUGGCUGUCGGCCUUCUUUUGUUGGGGUGGAGAUGACACCUCUUGUGGUAAACUAGUAUUUCACACUUGGUAAUGCUUCUCUCCUUGCUGGGGGCUUAGCAAACACUUUAAUAGUUGCAGAGCAAACCCUUACACAUUGCCUUAUACCACGGGAUCCAGGUAUUGGACGUAAGAUCAAUACAUGCAGCAUCCUACAAGCAUUUCAUAAAAUCUAAACACAUUCUUGUAAUGCUAAUAUCUGUUUUAACAACACUAACGCACAGGUGAGCCAGACUGGUUUCCAGCUCUGCAUUUGUCAGUGUUCAGCGAGGCCCAGUGGCUUUGGCAUGAGCUGGCACCUGGUCUGCCAGGGUCACAAACGGAAAAGCUCUUCUGCUGACCUCACAGUGCCUAUAGUGGGGCUUAGGUCAGUUUAACUAUGUCUCUCCGGGGUGUGAGAACCUGAGCCAUGCAGCUAGGUCAACCUACGUUUUAGGUGUAGAGCUGGUUUUAGUCAUACCUAAUGCUAGAGGUUAUGGCUGUUUGGACUGAUUUUGUGGGUAUGGGCUAGAGGAGGGCACUGGGAGGUAGGAGUCCAUUCCUAGGUUGGCUCGGGGUGCCGGGGGAGGGCUAGGACACGUAGGCUAGGACAGAAGACUGGGAGCUAACACUCCUGGGUUCUGUUCCCAGCCUUGUCUCUGGGUACAUCUACACUGCAGCUGGCGAUGGGAUUGCAGCCUGGGGAUUGCACACCCGCACUAGCUUUAAUCCAGUUAGCACAGCUCAAAAUAGCAGUGAAGCUGGAGUGGCACGGAGGUCAGCAUGGGCUAGACAUGCCAGUACCUAGCUAGGCAGACUAGGUGGGUUUGUAUGUGCUGCAGCUGGUAGGCAUUUCUGUCAGGCCAGGGUGCAUGCAUGGAGUCAGGCUUCUAGCAGAUGGAGGGGGCAAGAUCCAUAGGCUUUAGCCUCGUUAAUCCCACAGAUUCUUGGUCUCUGUGCAAUCUGCAGCCCAAGAUCCUUCUCAGAUCUUCACUGCCACAGCCUCUGAGAGGGGACAAUAUAGCAGAACGGAGCCAGGCAAGUAAAUUCUUCCUUCCUGCGCCUUUUCACUAGUAAGAAGAAGACCUGGAGCUAUGUAAACUCUGCCCAGCCCAUUGCUAUAAAUACCCUCUCUGGGCCAUACCUGUAUCUCCUCCCGCCCAUCUCCCAGUAACCACCCCAUGAAACAUACCUUUCCUCCAUACCUGUACCCCUUGUCCACACUGAAAUUACAACCAGGUUUACAGCGCUCCUUGCAGACAGCUAACUUAGCCCAAAGAUGCUGUAGAUGAUCCUCCACCCCAGACAGGCUCCAGAUCCAAACUCCCCAUGAUAUGGCAGGGAGGGGCAGAUUGCAGAUUUUUGUUUGGCCCAGCGCAGACAGUGCUGCAGAAUACAGACCCUGGUCUGACUAUUUCUGGAGUUCUGGCUUGGUUCAGACCUAUGUCUAGAAGGAGAGUAGCUGUAAACAAGAGGUGGAGGCUUCUCAUGCUCUUCCUGAACCGGUAAAUUCUGCAGGCUACGGCAGAUUGCUCCAGGAAACAUAUCCUUUCAGCACCGCCAGUUGCAGUUGGCACAUCUGUGCAUUCCUGGAUGCAAAAGGACAUGUUAUUACAGCUUCUGAUGAGGCGCUGGCCAGCCCAGCCUGCCAGCAUAACAGAGGUGGGUGAAAGAAACAUGCCUGGGGAAUUUCCAGAGCAGGAGUUAUUGCUUCACUAAAUACCUUCUCUCCCUCCUUUCUGCCUCCCUCUCUCAAUGUUCUCCUAGGCUUGCUUUUUGGACAGCACGCUCUGUACACCUACAUCUUGCCCCUCCCCAGUCUGGUGACUCAAAGGACAGGGAUCAAAGCCCCAAAGGGUUAUAGUGGGGGCCGGGAGGAGAGAAGGAGCUAUUGGGCCAAGGGUGCCGGGUUUUCCUGCAAAGGCUUCAGAGCAGAAGUUGAGCCAUCCUGCUAUGUGCAUGCAUGUGCUUGCAACACUUAAAGUGGGUGGGGUCUUCUGGCAUCACAGACACAGCCCAAGAAAAGUGCAGCUCUACAGAGAGUUGGGGCUCGGUGCCCUGGGUCUGUAUGAUGUGGUCAAGUCAGCAGCAGCUGUUUCCUGCUGGCAGCCGGGGAAUGCGGUCUUUCCUGCCUCCGUCCCUUAAGCUUUCUGCUCUAUUCGGGACAGGAGAUUUCUUGCAUUGGUGCCGUAACGUCUCCGACUGGACUGGGGCAUGGAGAUGCAGGGUCCAGGGAUGGGUCUGGGUGAAUUUCAGAGGGGAAAUCAGCACUGAUGGUGAUUUGUCUUGAUUGAAGAUCUCUUGGGUGUGGUGUUAGCAACGUGCUGGUCAGGGCUCAAGGCCACGGUAGCCUCGGCUCAAUGUCUGCUCUAGGCCCGUCCAAACACAUGCCACCCCCCAAAUGGCACACUCAGACCAGUCCAGCAUGGCAGUCCCUCCGCUGCUCUCAAAUAUUUUAAAAAGGGCUGUCCCUUUCCAGGAAGUCUUGGCAAUGUCCUGAAAUGCGCUGCCCCUAACAAUCUGGUCUGCACUCAUAAUAUUCCACCCUGGAGUAACCACAGACCCAAGACUUCUUUGAGAUCACAGUGAGCGCCAUGUGUGCCUGUCAGUCUGACUUGUAUGGGUGGGCCCGUGUGCACAUGUGUCUGUGCAUACAUGCUGCAUAUACAUCUCUGAGCACGCAACUUUGUGUGUGUAGAUGCGUCUAGAUGCGUUGCUGAGCAGUCUUUCUGGGCAUGUAUACUUUGGUCCCUCUGUGCAUUUGGGGGCAUAUGUGUUUGCAGAUCUGUAUCAUACAGCUAAGUGUAACAAAUAGUUUUAAUUCUUCUAUUCCUCCUUCCUCUUUAAUUCCACGCCAUCAG